AGAGCGAACGCUGGCGGCAGGCUUAACACAUGCAAGUCGAGCGGGCGUAGCAAUACGUCAGCGGCAGACGGGUGAGUAACGCGUGGGAACAUACCUUUUGGUUCGGAACAACACAGGGAAACUUGUGCUAAUACCGGAUAAGCCCUUACGGGGAAAGAUUUAUCGCCGAAAGAUUGGCCCGCGUCUGAUUAGCUAGUUGGUGAGGUAACGGCUCACCAAGGCGACGAUCAGUAGCUGGUCUGAGAGGAUGAUCAGCCACAUUGGGACUGAGACACGGCCCAAACUCCUACGGGAGGCAGCAGUGGGGAAUAUUGGACAAUGGGCGCAAGCCUGAUCCAGCCAUGCCGUGUGAGUGAUGAAGGCCCUAGGGUUGUAAAGCUCUUUUGUGCGGGAAGAUAAUGACGGUACCGCAAGAAUAAGCCCCGGCUAACUUCGCGCCAGCAGCCGC
rnacentral:rRNA from 1 species